rnacentral:rRNA from 1 species
UACGGAGGGUGCAAGCGUUAAUCGGAAUGACUGGGCGUAAAGGGUGCGUAGGUGGUUAUUUAAGUUAUAGGUGAAAUCAUUGGGCUUAACCUGGUGCGGAAUUAUAAUACUGAGUAACUAGAGUGAGGGAGAGGGUAGUGGAAUUUCCGGUGUAGCGGUGAAAUGCGUAGAGAUCGGAAGGAACACCAGUUGCGAAGGCGGCUACCUGGCCUAUCACUGACACUGAGGCACGAAAGCGUGGGUAGCAAACAGG